rnacentral:rRNA from 1 species
UACGAAGGGGGGCUAGCGUUGCUCGGAAUCACUGGGCGUAAAGGGUGCGUAGGCGGGUCUUUAAGUCAGGGGUGAAAUCCUGGAGCUCAACUCCAGAACUGCCUUUGAUACUGAAGAUCUUGAGUUCGGGAGAGGUGAGUGGAACUGCGAGUGUAGAGGUGAAAUUCGUAGAUAUUCGCAAGAACACCAGUGGCGAAGGCGGCUCUCUGGGACGGUACUGACGCUGAGACGCGAAAGCGUCGGGGAGCGAAGAGG